UUUGACCUCGGAUCAGGUAGGGAUAC
rnacentral:ncRNA from 4 species